rnacentral:snoRNA from 1 species
CAAGUGAUGAACACAUUGGUCCGUGUUUAUGAAUUUAUUUGAUUAUUUUAUUAACCUAUUUCUGAUAUUG